GGUAGCAAUACUAAAGAAAUAUUACACAUGUAUGUUACACUCUAGGUUCUGUGGUAGCGGCGAUUCAGAACCUUCGGCAAGGGAUAGCUCGAAAUACGCGGGCAAGCACGGCAGCAUAUCAUGGCGUCUUUGUUGCUCUGCAUCCCGCGCAUCGCCCGCUUCGUUCUUUUCCCCCGAAUUCCCCGCUUCAUUCACAAACCGCCCGUGAGGUUUCUAACCCGAAGAGUUUCAAUCGAUCAUUUCUCCUGCUCCUCUAGCACUGCCACUUCUUCAUCUCCUUCCACCCCGAGUUCUUCUCUUUCUCCUACUCCUGUGGCUGAAAACGUAUCCCCUGAUCGGACUUCCGAAAGCCUAGCAGAGUAUUCAAUGCAAUGGGUCUCUCCUACGGUCUCUUGCAGCGAGCUUGGCGUCGAAGAUGUUGGCAGGCGUGUCCGACUUUGCGGCUGGGUCGCGCUUCGUAGGGUUCAUAGGGGCCUCACCUUUCUGAACCUCAGAGAUGACUCUGGAAUUGUUCAAGUUGCCACGCUGCCUGAUGAGUUUCCGGAGGCGCAUGCAGCUGCGAACAAGUUGGGGCUUGAAUGGGUCAUUGCCAUAGACGGCACAGUGCGAGCUCGGCCGAAUGAGUCGGUUAACCAAAAAAUGAAAACUGGGGCGGUAGAGGUUAUUGCUGAGCAUGUUGUUGUAUUGAACACUGUCAACUGUACACUACCUUUUCCAAUUACUACUGUAGAUGAUCUAAAUGUUAACAUCUCUGAGGAGAUACGCUUGAGAUAUCGAGCCCUAGAUCUGCGACGGCCACAGAUGCAGUUCAACCUGCGAAUGCGGUAUAACGUGAUUGAGAGCAUUCGAUCUUUUCUAAAGAAGCAUAAAUUUGUUGAGCUUGAGACUCCAAUCUUGUCUAAAUCCACACCUGAAGGUGCUCGAGAUUAUCUAGUGCCAUCUCGUGUUCAGCCAGGAAUGUUUUAUGCACUACCUCAAAGCCCACAAUUGUUUAAACAAAUGUGCAUGAUCGGGGGAUUCAAGAGAUAUUUUCAAAUAGCAAGAUGCUUUCGAGAUGAGGACCUUAGAGCUGAUAGGCAACCCGAGUUUACACAACUUGACAUGGAGCUCUCAUUCACAACAUUAGAAGACAUCUUAAAACUUAAUGAAGAUCUGAUAAGACAUGUUUUUCAUGAGAUGAUUGGAAUAGAACUUCCAAACCCUUUCCCAAGGAUAACUUAUGUGGAGGCUAUGAAUCUGUAUGGGACUGAUCGGCCAGACCUCCGGUUUAGCCUUGAACUAAAAACUGUUACAGACAUUUUUGUAGGGUGUAAUUUUCAAGUUUUUGUGGAAUCUGUAACAAAUGGUGAGGUUAUCAAAGCAAUAUGCGUGCCUUCAGGUGCGGAAAAAUUUUCGAACACAGCUCUUAGAAAGGGUAAUAUAUAUAAUGAGGCAACAAAGGCUGGAGCUAAAGGUUUGCCUUUCCUCAAGGUCCUUGAUAAUGGAGAGCUUGAUGGCAUUCCUGCUUUGGUUUCAAGUCUCGAACCUGUAAAAAAGGAGCAAUUGAUGAGACUUCUUUCAGCAAAGGCUGGAGAUCUAAUUCUGUUUGCGGUGGGCCACCAAGCAGCUGUGAACAAAAUCCUUGACAGGCUCAGAUUGUUUGUAGCCAAUGAGUUGGGGUUGAUUGAUACUCUCUCCCAUUCGAUUCUUUGGGUUGUGGACUUUCCAAUGUUUGAAUGGAACUCUGCGGAACAAAGACUCGAGGCUCUUCACCACCCAUUUACUGCCCCAAAUCCUGAAGACAUGGAUGACCUUCCUUCAGCUCGCGCUUUAGCCUACGACAUGGUCUACAAUGGAAUUGAGAUUGGUGGGGGCAGUUUGAGAAUUUACAAACGUAAGGUUCAAGAGAAAGUAUUUGAAACUAUUGGCAUUUCACCUAGGCAGGCUGAAGAGAAAUUUGGUUACUUCUUGCAAACUCUAGAUCAGGGAGCACCUCCUCAUGGGGGGAUUGCAUAUGGUUUGGACAGGUUAGUGAUGCUUAUGGCUGGUGCAAGUUCAAUCAGAGAAGUAAUAGCUUUUCCAAAGACUGCAACCUCUCAAUGUGCAUUGACACAUGCGCCAUCAAAAGUAGACCCCCAGCAAUUGAAGGAUCUAGCAUUCCCUCCACGAUGAUGUAAUCACCUUUUGGUUUUCAUGCAAGGAAAUGACUAAAGAGAAUAUCAAAGGGGAAAACCAGUAAAAGGAGGUCAUUUCUUGCUCUUGAUGUAGGAAAAGAGGGGAUGAGGAUGAGGAGCAAGGAGGAUAGAUUUUGGAGGCAUCUAAUCAUGUUCUAAAACACCAUUUGCUUGCUAGUUCAGGACACCGCAACGAAGUUCAACAUAUACUAUAAAAAGUUGAUCAUUGGCGAUAGCCCAUCACAGUUUCUCAUAUGCCUAUGCCUGUCGAUGCGGGCCACAAGAACAACCCAUCCUUUCCUUUAAUGAUUGGUGAUUCUUACCAUAUUAUCUAUAGUGCUUGUCCAUUUGAAGAGCUGUCUAUCUAUGUCGUAACAAAUAUAAACCUUAUCCACAAUGUUUGACAGUAAUAACAGAUUAGAUGCUUUUAAAGCA